ACGGCUCAGUAACACGUGGCUAACCUACCCUCGGGUGGGGGAUAACCUCGGGAAACUGAGGAUAAUACCCCAUAGGAGAAGAGGUCUGGAAUGAUCCUUCUCUGAAAACAUAUGUGCCCGAGGAUGGGGCUGCGUCUGAUUAGGUAGUUGGUGGGGUAACGGCCCACCAAGCCUACGAUCAGUACGGGCCUUGAGAGAGGCAGCCCGGAGAUGGGGACUGAGACACGGCCCCAGGCCCUACGGGGCGCAGCAGGCGCGAAACCUCCGCAAUGCACGAAAGUGCGACGGGGGGACCCCAAGUGCUUACGCACUGCGUAGGCUUUUCUAAAGUGUAAAAAGCUUUAGGAAUAAGGGCUGGGCAAGUCCGGUGCCAGCAGCCGCGGUAACACCGGCGGCCCGAGUGGUGACCACUUUUAUUGGGCCUAAAGCGUCCGUAGCCGGUCCAGUAAGUCCCUGUUUAAAUCCUACGGCUUAACCGUAGGGCUGGCAGGGAUACUGCUGGACUUGGGACCGGGAGAGGGCGAGGGUACUUCAGGGGUAGCGGUGAAAUGUGUUGAUCCCUGGAGGACCACCUAUGGCGAAGGCACUCGCCUGGAACGG
rnacentral:rRNA from 1 species